GACGAGGGACCUAGCGUUGUUCGGAAUUAUUGGGCGUAAAGCGGGUGUAGGCGGACUUAUAAGUCAGGUGUGAAAUCCCAGGGCUCAACCCUGGAAGUGCACUUGAUACUGCAAGUCUUGAAUGUGGUAGAGGCUAUUAGAAUUCCUGGUGUAGUGGUGAAAUACGUAGAUAAUCAGGAGGAAUACCGGAGGCGAAGGCGGAUAGCUGGGCCAACAUUGACGCUGGAGAACCCGAAAGCGUGGGAUCAAACAGGA
rnacentral:rRNA from 1 species